CACUCUGCGGGAGGCAGCAGUGGGGAAUAUUGGACAAUGGGCGCAAGCCUGAUCCAGCCAUGCCGCGUGAGUGAUGAAGGCCCUAGGGUUGUAAAGCUCUUUCACCGGUGAAGAUAAUGACGGUAACCGGAGAAGAAGCCCCGGCUAACUUCGUGCCAGCAGCCGCGGUAAUACGAAGGGGGCUAGCGUUGUUCGGAUUUACUGGGCGUAAAGCGCACGUAGGCGGACUAUUAAGUCAGGGGUGAAAUCCCGGGGCUCAACCCCGGAACUGCCUUUGAUACUGGUAGUCUUGAGUUCGAGAGAGGUGAGUGGAAUUCCGAGUGUAGAGGUGAAAUUCGUAGAUAUUCGGAGGAACACCAGUGGCGAAGGCGGCUCACUGGCUCGAUACUGACGCUGAGGUGCGAAAGCGUGGGGAGCAAACAGGAUUAGAUACCCGAGUAGUCCC
rnacentral:rRNA from 1 species